UACGGAGGGGGCUAGCGUUGUUCGGAAUUACUGGGCGUAAAGCGCACGUAGGCGGCUUUGUAAGUUAGACGUGAAAGCCCCGGGCUCGACCCGGGAGGGUCGUCGUGAACCGGGGGGCUUGAGGCCGGUAGAGGUGGGUGGAACUCCUGGUGGAGUGGUGAAAUGCGUAGAGAUCAGGAAGAACACCCGUGGCGAAGGCGGCCCACUGGGCCGGUACUGACGCUGAGGCACGAAGGCGUGGGGAGCGAACGGG
rnacentral:rRNA from 1 species